rnacentral:rRNA from 1 species
AUUGAACGCUGGCGGCAUGCCUUACACAUGCAAGUCGAACGGCAGCACGGGGCAACCUGGUGGCGAGUGGCGAACGGGUGAGUAAUGCAUCGGAACGUGCCAUUGAGUGGGGGAUAACGUAGCGAAAGUUGCGCUAAUACCGCAUAUUCUGUGAGCAGGAAAGCAGGGGACCGCAAGGCCUUGCGCUCUUUGAGCGGCCGAUGUCAGAUUAGCUAGUUGGUGAGGUAAAGGCUUACCAAGGCGACGAUCUGUAGCGGGUCUGAGAGGAUGAUCCGCCACACUGGAACUGAGACACGGUCCAGACUCCUACGGGAGGCAGCAGUGGGGAAUUUUGGACAAUGGGGGCAACCCUGAUCCAGCCAUGCCGCGUGAGUGAAGAAGGCCUUCGGUGUAAAGCUCUUCGGUCCGGGACGGAAAUACGCACGGCGUAUAUCCUGUGUGGAUG